ACACACACACAGAACCUGGAUUAAAGAAAGACCAGGGUGGUCUGGAACUUGUGGCAAUCCUGUCUUCUGUUUCCUGAAGGCAGGAAUUAUAGGUGCGCAAUCCCACAGCUGGCACUAUUUACUACUUUAAGACUUGUACGUGAUUCUCACUGAAUGGAGAGUGAAUGGGGGGACAGAGGGAGAGCCCGGAGGUGACACUUCUUCAUGCUCUCAUUUUCAGCCAGAAAGAAAUUUCUAUAAGGAUGAUAUCAGAUUAUGAAGAGAGGCUCCCACAGCAGGAACCAGCAGACAGAACCAGUAAACAGUUCCUGAAAUGGUUACAAUAAAUAACUGGAACAAGCAGGAGUACUAACGUGGAUGUGAGAAGAAGCCAAGUAGAAGUUCACAAAUGAAGAUUCUGUGCCUUUGUAUGUAAAGCUAUGGUAAAGUAGAUGUUAGAGGAAACAGGAGGAUGAACUAGAAGUUCCAGUAACAUAAGGAAGGCUGUGUGGAGAUUUAUGGUAGAAGAGAUGGCAUCGUGGCUCAGCAGAGAUGGAAAUUUUAUCAAACACCACUGUGCAAAUGGUUGUCAAUGGAAGACAGAAAAUGUGACUCUCACUUUACAUGAACACAAAAUCCAAGACAGAACGAAACCAAAAAAAGGGACAAACAAAACUUCAACCUUUUAGGGGAAAUGGUAGGAAGCUAUUGUGCCAGGAUGCUAAGGAAGUCUUUAUGGAAUCAGAGAGGAUCACCAGGAAAAGGGUCAUUGUGUUACCUCAGGCAGAGUAGUGGAGCCGGACAUGCACCUUAUAGCAGGUAAAAGCUAAUCUCCGUGGUACAGGCUCAGAUAUGUACUGAAAGUAUAGCACUUUCAUUUUUACGUAGUUUUAGGCUAGCUGUCCAAAUCUUUGGUUUCAUUUUGACAUUUUCAUUCAUGGGCAUCACAUUGUCUGCUUCCUCCCACAUGCCAUACUAUAUAUUGAACAUCGAGAAGAAAAAAAAAAAGAGUAAACUUAUUAUCUUAAAUUAAGCAACAGUUCUUUAAACAUAGCAUCAAAAGCACAAAUGUGAAUGAAAAACAAGAUAAAUUAGACUCUGAAAAUUGGUUCAUUAAAGUGCAGUAACAUAAAAAGACAAAGAUAACUUGAAACCAUAUCUAAUAAUGUACUAGUAUCCAUGAUGAACAGAGAUAAUUAAAUUAAAAGUAAGCAAAGGGUUUGAAUUAAUAUUUAGUCACAAAGACAUACUGAUGGCCACUAGGCUCAUGAAGAUAUGGUCGGCAUAGCUAGAUAAAUGAACAUCAAAGCCACCAUAACACAGUACAUCAUCUCAUAUCCACUAGAAUGGCUUUGAUUAGAAAAGAGGGUCAGUUGGAAUGCCGAAGAGUACAUGUCAAAAUUAGAAUCUUCAUUCACGGCUGGUGCGGAUGCCAAAUGGUUCAGCUGCUGCUCUGGUGUGCUUUCCUCCAACAUGACAUGACUGUUGCCUUCUUGAACACUCAGCAGCUGUGAAUGCCUAAUUGAGAUCCUCAAAAGACUGGGCUCAAUAACAUUCAGUAAUGGGGUAAGGGGCUCAUACAGCCCCACCUUUUCAUGAUGACAUAUAAGUAACUCACACAGGCUGGCUGCUGGGACAGGGACUUCUCUUGGGUUGUGUAGCUGUUUCUGAUUUGUCCAUGUUUCUGUAGGUACCUCCUCACACAUGCUUAUGUAAGUAAUCACAAUUAAAUUCAUUAAUUUACCAAGA